CUUUCCUUGUCCCUAUUUCCACAAUACCACAAUUUUCAUGAAAGCAAGUGUUUAACAUGUAAAACCCAUGCCAGAAAUAUAUUUUUGCAAUUCUUAAUUUUGGUCAUUCUGCAUGAGGUCAUUACAUUGGCAAAAUAAGACAUAUUCAGAACAUUUAAGGAUGAAAACAUUACCAUAUAGUCAACAUGAGGAAGCAUACAGAAUGUUUUUAUUUUAAAGAAAAAUUAAAAGGAUUCUCUAGGGCCAGGAAAACAUAAUAGUUUUCCUGGCA